GGGGUUGUGGCUCAGUGAUAGAGCGCUUGCUCUAUGCAUGAGGCACUGGGUUCGAUCCCCAGCACCACA
rnacentral:tRNA from 1 species